rnacentral:rRNA from 1 species
AUUCCACGGAUUCCGUGACGCAGCUAACGCAUUAAGUUCCCCGCCUGGGGAGUACGGCCGCAAGGCUAAAACUCAAAGGAAUUGACGGGGACCCGCACAAGCGGCGGAGCAUGCGGAUUAAUUCGAUGCAACGCGAAGAACCUUACCAAGGCUUGACAUAUACGAGAACGGGCCAGAAAUGGUCAACUCUUUGGACACUCGUAAACAGGUGGUGCAUGGUUGUCGUCAGCUCGUGUCGUGAGAUGUUGGGUUAAGUCCCGCAACGAGCGCAACCCUCGUUCUAUGUUGCCAGCACGUAAUGGUGGGAACUCAUGGGAUACUGCCGGGGUCAACUCGGAGGAAGGUGGGGAUGACGUCAAAUCAUCAUGCCCCUUAUGUCUUGGGCUUCACGCAUGCUACAAUGGCCGGUACAAAGGGCUGCAAUACCGUGAGGUGGAGCGAAUCCCAAAAAGCCGGUCCCAGUUCGGAUUGAGGUCUGCAACUCGACCUCAUGAAGUCGGAGUCGCUAGUAAUCGCAGAUCAGCAACGCUGCGGUGAAUACGUUCCCGGGUCUUGUACACACCGCCCGUCAAGUCAUGAAAGUCGGUAACACCUGAAGCCGGUGGCCUAACCCUUGUGGAGGGAGCUGUCGAAGGUGGGAUCGGUAAUUAGGACUAAGUCGU